GGGGAUUAAUUUAAUUAAAAUAACUGAUUUCGACUCAGUAAAUUCUGACUUUUCCAGAAUCCCCAAU
rnacentral:tRNA from 1 species